rnacentral:tRNA from 1 species
GUGUCUGUAGCUCAGUCGGAUAGAGCAAUUGCCUUCUAAGCAAUGGGCCGGGGGUUCGAAUCCCUCCAGACACGCCA